AGUCCCGUAGGCGAAUUCGUUUAAGCCGUCACCCUCUCAAGGUGAAGAUUGCGAGUGCAAAUCUCGUCGGGACUU
rnacentral:tRNA from 1 species